rnacentral:rRNA from 1 species
GAUGAACGCUGGCGGCGUGCCUAAUACAUGCAAGUCGAGCGCUGCGGGGACGGGUGCGUAACACGUGGAUAACCCCCUAUACGACUGGGACAACUUCGGGAAACCUGAGCUAAACGUGAUAUUUAUAGAUCGAUGCGCGAUGCAUUAGCUAGUUGGUAAGGUAACGGCUGACCAAGGCAACGAUGCAUAGCCGACCUGAGCGGGUGAUCGGCCACACGGGAACUGAGAAACGGCCCAGACUCCGACAGGAGGAAGCAGUAGGGAAUCUUCCGCAAUGGGCGAAAGCCUGACCGAGCAACGCAGCGUGAGUGAGGAAGGUUUUCGGAUCGUAAAACUCUGUUAUUAGAGAAGGGGUACCUAAUCAGAAAGCCACGGCUAACUACGUGCCAGCGGCCGCGGUAAUUC